AAAGAAGUGGCGCAGCUGGUAGCGCACAUGGCUUGUAACCAUGAUGUCGCAGGUUCAAAUCCUGUCUUC
rnacentral:tRNA from 1 species